GGAAUAUUGGACAAUGGGCGCAAGCCUGAUCCAGCCAUGCCGCGUGUGUGAAGAAGGCCUUCGGGUUGUAAAGCACUUUCAGUGGUGAGGAAGGUGGUGUUGGUAAUAGCAGCAUCAAUUGACGUUAGCCACAGAAGAAGCACCGGCUAACUCCGUGCCAGCAGCCGCGGUAAUACGGAGGGUGCGAGCGUUAAUCGGAAUUACUGGGCGUAAAGCGCACGUAGGCGGUUUGUUAAGCAAGAUGUGAAAGCCCCGGGCUCAACCUGGGAAUUGCAUUUUGAACUGGCAAGCUAGAGUUUUGAAGAGGGUGGUAGAAUUUCCAGUGUAGCGGUGAAAUGCGUAGAUAUUGGAAGGAAUACCAGUGGCGAAGGCGGCCACCUGGUCAAAAACUGACGCUGAGGAGCGAAAGCGUGGGGAGC
rnacentral:rRNA from 1 species